CAAUCGAAUAUUUUUUGAACACGUAAAAAAAAGUUAACGGCGUCAAAAUGACUACCUAAAGCCGGCCUCGAGUUGAAGGAACUUACUCCCCCGGUUCAUUUAAUGAAUGUGGCCAGCGGUUCGAUUUCCUCAUGUCUCAUUCGUAAACAACAGAGGUCCCUCGGGGAUUUUGCUUUCUCGUUCUUUUUUAUCGGGCAUUUCUUUUUGAUUUCUUAUUUGUUCCGUUGGGGACGUCUUUCAUUUUGGUUUCCCACGCGCUCAUUCGAUUUGCUCUUCACAACCGAACAAAGCGCGCGCACAAGCAGAUUGGUUUGGUUGGUUUUGUGAAAUUGAAUUGAAUUGGAAGGAAUUGGACAAAUUGGACAUUGGUUGGACCAACCUAUAUUGGAAAAGACACAAAGCUUCAAUGUCAAUGUUUCGGAUUAGCGAAUCGAACCAUCUUACAUGAACCUACAGUUAAUGUAUACUUCUAACUCUCAAGCUGGAAAAAAGGAUCAGGGAUCACGUACGUACAGCGUUCCCGCGCUAUUUCGCCGGCCACGGCGUAGGUGUGGGCCGCCAUAAUAGCCUAUGCUCGUCCCUCUCCGCUCGUAUUAAUCGAUUGUGGCAUAAGAUUAAAUGUCGAUCAUUAUCGAAAAAAUACUCUGGAUGGUGUAUUACAGCCUUCUAGGGAUACCACAUCCAAGACGUUGCUGCAUAACAGGGUGCAAAAAUUCGGAACCUGGAAAGGGUACUACUACUUUGCAUGCUGUAAAAAAAGCAUGGCAGCCAAUUUUAAAGGACCUUUAUGGAAUGGCUUAUAUAAGCAAUGGGUCCAAAAUUUGUGAAUUGCAUUUUGAAGAAAAGAUGUAUACAAAUAUGACAGCAUCCAAAUGACUGUUAUCAACAGCAGUACCCUGCAUGAAUUUUCCAUCUCCACUUGCCUUCAACACCAUUGAUGUGGAGACGACAGAUAUGGAAAUUGAUGAAUGUUUUAGGCUUUUUAGUCCAUGUUCUUCGAUAUUUGCAUUUAAAGUUAUAAACACUGGAUCACUGAUAAGCGGAAUGGAAUCAUUUCCAAUCCGCUUGAGUGAAACAGGGUUUUAAAACCAUCUACGCCCGUAAUUGUCAAUACGUAGCCUCAUUAUAAGGACGACUGACCUGACUGAUCAUCAAAGCCCAGGCGAAACGAAUGAAUUUAAAUUAGGCUUUUGCGGCGGGCGUAUAAACGGAAAAGGAAACUUUUAAACGCAUCCAUUAAGCACUAUAUUACUUUAAUACUUUAAUUUCAUUAAUGCUAAAUUAAAUUAACCCUUAACUACAGACGUAAAAUUAUACGAACUUUAGUACAGACCACCGAUAAUUUUUACCGGUAAUAUAAAAUACAUAAAAUUUCUGUAAAACAAUUGAAAAA